UGGCUCUCAUCUUCCCCCUAACGUGUUUUCAAUUCUUACCUGAAUCGACCAGAUCUGAGAUGGAUAGAUUGUUUAAAAAAUCUAUACAUCUACACAUACGAGAGAGAGGGAGAGACAAGAUCCAGGGGAGAUGAUGACACGAUUCAAUGGCGGUUGAAGAAGAUCCAACGGUGGCGAUGGUGGUUUCAAGGUCAAAGCUUUGUUUUCAGGUGAUCCUGCUACUACAAUGAAGAUGAUGUCGAAAUUAGUGGCUGAAGAUUCCGAGCUGAUGCCUUCAAAAAGGUUCAAGGAAGCUGAUGGGUGGCAUGAAAUAUAACAGUAUUGAUUUCAGUAAAGAGGAAGCUGGGAAACUAAUUUGACGUAAUUUGUUAAAAGAUGUAGCUUUUGGUGUUUUUUGUGCAGAAUAUUAAGGUAUGAUACAGAUACACUACAUCUUAUACAUAUUGCUCUGCUAUUUUGUAAAUUCUCAGUGUCUCCAUUUAGUUUAUGAGAUUGUUAGUUGAGUUUAUAUGUAUAUAUGUAAUAUUGGGUUUUAAACUCUUCAUUUUCUUGAGUUAGCUACAUAUGUAAAG
rnacentral:lncRNA from 1 species